AUAAACCAGCUUCUGGUGAAAAUUCAGUCAGUCUCAAAUAGCAAGAGAUACAUCACACCACUGUGACUGAGAAACAAUGACUGUCAUCUAUACGAUCAUCGCAGUUCUGGCGGCAAAAGCUCUGGUGAAAGGGUUAACUGAAUGCAAUUUUUCACAUUCUAAUGGAACUCGUCAGUGUUUUGGAGCACUAGGACAGCCACUGUUUUUUCAUCUGUCAGAUAAAACAAAUACUGAAAUUAGACUGACAAAGGAUGGCAAAUACAUGAUUCUAAAAAGGGACACAACUGGGAAAGUGACACUAGAUGACAAAUUUGUAAAUCAG